rnacentral:lncRNA from 1 species
CGCCUUCUGUGGGUCAUGGCCACAGUACUCUGACCUCUGAUGCUGUCAUUACAUCCCCUUCUCUGACUCUGACUCUCCUGGCUUUCUUAUAAAGAUCCUUGUAUUUACAUUUGGCCCACCCAGAUAACCCAGGAUAAUCUCCCCUUUUUAAGACCUUUCAGUUACUUAUAUUUGCAAAACUUUCUUUUAUCAUACGUGGUAGCAUAUUCACAGGUUUCAGGGAUUAGGACAAGGACAACUUUUUAGGUUAAUAUUCUGCCUCCCACAAGGGUCUAAUAGUAAAAUCAAGGUGUGACCAUAAAAUCCUUUAUUAAAAUCUCAUGAAUAUCUAGGGCAAUGCCUCAGAGAUCUGAUAUGCCAAUAACUUCUAAGAAUACAAGGCAGUAUAAGCAGCCUAAGCCCCAGAAACACACAUAGGGAAGGAUUUAGCUCAAAGCAUUUGCAGGUGUGUCUUUUGUCUAGUGAAGCCCAGUCCAUAACAGUCCUAGGAUCCUCAAGAAGUGUUUUAAGAGAACUGUACUACACUGCCAACUUGAACCAAAAGGGACAAUGACAGCACAAGAUGAAAAAGAUCUGAUGUACGCUAACAAUUCCAUAGGCAGUAAGCAGGUUCAGAAAGCCAUUACUGAGCAGCAAAUAUGGGCAACAUGUCAUUAAAAAGGAGAAAUUACUCAGAGGACAGAUCCAAGAGCCACAGUACAUUAUUCUCAGACUUUGAGCCCUAAUCAAGGAACUUGCAACAUGUGCCACUCCAGAUUUCAGAAAUGUUAGGGAAUGGUGACGACUGUGUCUCUCAUUUUUCCACAUUAUGAAAAUGAAGGUCUGUGCCAGUUAUUUUAUGCCUGUUCCACGAUUGUUUGCUGGGCCUGUGGGGACGACGGGAAGCAAGAACUUGUGUCUAUUGUUUACAGGUCCUUAUAUUAAGAAGGCUUGCAUUCUAAGUGCCACACUUGAGAUGUCUUACCCCAUCUGAACCUGAUUUUGUAGCAAAUAUCCUGUAAUUGAGCUGACAUUGGAAAUGAAUGAGAAUUUGGAGAGAAGAUGUGGAUUUUUUAUGAAGGAGCAGGUUUGAAGGCAUGAAUCAUCCAAGGUCAAAAGGAGAAACCAACCAACAUGCCAUAUGGACAUUGAAGCAUCUCUGUACAGAUGCCGACUUGGAAAGAAACUAGGACUUCACACCAACAAUCAAUACCAACUACCAGCCAGGCAUAUGACUAAACUUUGAAGUGGAUCUUCUAGCCCCAGAAUUUUUUCUAGAUUUAGUAAACAAUUUGAGGAUACCUAUC